UGAUCUUGGCCGUUUGGACGGAAUGCAAGUUGUGAUAUCAUCGGUCUCAUCAAACUCAUCAGCAGGGAGCUCAAGAUCAAUCAUUUUUCUCCUACUUUGCAAAGGACCGUUGCAAGCCUGAGAGGUGCUUCCUUCUCCAUUCGAAUUAUUUCCCUUAACUUCAUCCACCAAGUUCCUCUGUACUCUAUACAAACGGUGAAGUUCAUGAACCUGCUGCCAUCAAUAACAAAAGUCAAAACCUCUAGACACGUAAAACGAAACCAUAAGAAGAUAAAAGUAGUAAGUAGAUAGAGAGAGAGAGAGACCUGAUUCUUGAAAACGGCGUCGUGUUCAAGCAUUGUAUGUUUCAUGAAGUCUCUCUCGUAUAUCAUAUCCACAGCGAACACACAACAGACCAACUGCAAUUUAUUAAAUGUAAAAACUCAAUUACAAUCAGAGAUCAUUAUAUUAUAGUAUCAUUAUGUAUCAAAUGUUAAUGUAGCAUCUCAAAGCCAGAUUCAUCUUUUUGACAAAUCCGAAUCAUCAUUGAUAAAAACCCCAGGUUGCGAGCCCCCUCCUCCUUCUUCUUCACUCUCGAGAGCGGGAGGAGCCUCCAAAUCUAUCCACAUAUUUCCUUUUGUUUUCACUCUCAGACUGGAACGCAAGCCGGAAUCUUCAUCAUCUUCACUAGCACAUGAAUUCAGAUCAAAGUAGUGUCUGUUGAUGGCAGCUUUGUUUCCUUCUUCCUUUACAGCACAAAAGGCUUUAGAACCACGCUGGUCAACAGAAACUGAGGCAUCACAUGGCAAGUUGAUGUCGAAGUCCCGCUUCACUUCCUUAUGUUGAUCAGCGACACACAAGGAGUGAGAGAUAAAUGGAGCAUGCUCCUCCUUGCAAAUAGAAUGCUUCUGAAAGACUGGGCCCCCAAUAUUUUUUCCACUAUUCUGUGGGUUGAUCAAUUCAAUUCUUCCCAUGUUGGCAUUAUAAGAGCAUGAGGCAGAUGACCUAAAUCCCGUCUGAAGAGAAACACCAUUCCUACCGUCCCCUGCGUCAGUUCCAUCCAUGAAUUGAUCGGUCGAAGCAUUCAAAUCAAAUAAGCCACUGGAUCUUUCACUUUUGUAAGAUGGCUUAGGUUUUAGCCAGGGCAACAUAGCUGAGGAUUCCUGCGUUUUUAGCCCCUGAAAGCUUUCAGAACUCUGGUGCUUCACCACCUCACCUAAAGAAGCAUUUGGUCUAAAGCCUCCUGAUGGGAAACUAACGGCAGCCUCCUUCGACCCUGAAGAGAAUCCAUGAUAAACCCCGUUAGUGACAGGGCUUCUCGUAUCAAAACUUGUAUCUGUCCUUGUGCGCGCAACAAAGUUCAUGUAGGGAUUCGUUUGAACUGGGAAAAAUCUCUGAUGUGAGGUGCUCCUAGGGUUCUCCCACGAUGAAGACCAAUGGCUCCAUGGUCUGACAAAGUCAGGGCGGUAGUCAUUGUGUAAUCUUGGAGCAUUAGAUGCCGGAAAUGAUUCCACGUAGCUAUCAUAAGACGCUUGAGGAUUCUUUGAGCGAACUUCGAGCUCACGAUAUGCUCUUUCCCGGGAGAAUACUACAUUGCUGUGAUCAGUCGUGAGAUAGCUCUGAGGUUGAACAGCACUGUUGGAACGUACUUGUACAGAAUGGGAAGGCAAAUGCAAGUCUCUCUGAGUGCUCCUGUCGUGCCCUAUAAACACACCACCACAUGAAAACAUUCGAGAAACAGAAGAUAAGCAAAAUAGUUUUAUAUCAUUUAAAAAAAAAAAGAGAAAUCAAAUGAAAGUGAAGAGCAUGUAACCUGCGCCAAGGACCAUCCGUCCAUUUUGGCUUGUGUUUCUUCCAUAAUGAGAAUACACGUCCCUGGAGAGAGCAGCAGCAGGUUCCGCAUCUUGCCAAUUGAGUGGCUCAUUCAAGUCAGCUAAACCAUUUGAGUUCUUCACAUCCAAGCAAGACCCUGAAGAGUUGCUCCGAUGAGAACCAUCAUCUCUUCCUGAUCUUGGCCGUUUGGACGGAAUGCAAGUUGUGAUAUCAUCGGUCUCAUCAAACUCAUCAGCAGGGAGCUCAAGAUCAAUCAUUUUUCUCCUACUUUGCAAAGGACCGUUGCAAGCCUGAGAGGUGCUUCCUUCUCCAUUCGAAUUAUUUCCCUUAACUUCAUCCACCAAGUUCCUCUGUACUCUAUACAAACGGUGAAGUUCAUGAACCUGC
rnacentral:lncRNA from 1 species